rnacentral:rRNA from 1 species
AGUGAACGCUGGCGGUAGGCCUAACACAUGCAAGUCGAACGGCAGCACAGUAAGAGCUUGCUCUUACGGGUGGCGAGUGGCGGACGGGUGAGGAAUACAUCGGAAUCUACUUUUUCGUGGGGGAUAACGUAGGGGAACUUGCGCUAAUACCGCAUACGACCUACGGGUGAAAGCAGGGGAUCUUCGGACCUUGCGCGAUUGAAUGAGCCGAUGUCGGAUUAGCUAGUUGGCGGGGUAAAGGCCCACCAAGGCGACGAUCCGUAGCUGGUCUGAGAGGAUGAUCAGCCACACUGGAACUGAGACACGGUCCAGACUCCUACGGGAGGCAGCAGUGGGGAAUAUUGGACAAUAGGCGCAAGCCUGAUCCAGCCAUACCGCGUGGGUGAAGAAGGCCUUCGGGUUGUAAAGCCCUUUUGUUGGGAAAGAAAAGCAGCAGGUUAAUACCCCGCUGUUCUGACGGUACCCAAAGAAUAAGCACCGGCUAACUUCGUG